rnacentral:lncRNA from 10 species
GACUUUUCAUCCUCCAGAAAUGUAAGAAAUAAAUUAUUUUUCUUUAUCAACUACCCAGAAUACUACCCAGUGGUAGUCUGUUAUAGCAACACAAAACAGACUGACACUCGCAGAAUUUCUACAAGAUCUUUUUAAUUUUGCUUCCAUUGCAAUUUCAUUUUGGCUUUUGACCCUUGCAUCUAGAAUAGGCUUGGCCUUGCUCCAGGGAACAUGCCAUCCUGGCCUGACAUACUUCACCUUCCCAACUUCUGUCUUCUUUGUCAACUACCCACUCCGAAGUAUCCCUGACUUGCCUCCCUUGUCUUUGUUUCUCCUAGUGUGUUUUGUUUUGCUUUUUGAUGCAUGGGCCAUGACAGAAAUCUACUGAGGUGAAGGGGAAUUGAGGAGAGACUCAUUGUUUUCAGCAAGAUGGGUAGUUAUUGAGGAGAAAUUAGAAAGCAUCAACUAACUGAAUGUGAUAGGAUCCACAUUCCCACCACACGAAAUGAGACAGAUUUUUAAAUAUGGCUAAGCAGUGUAAGUAUUCAGGCAAAGUCUGACAACUAAAUAUGUAGUGGGCUCUAAUUAGAUGCUUCUUCAUUUGUCUCUAGGAAAAGGACUGAAGAAAAGAGACAGUGAGACUGAUCCAAAAACUCCCAUGUAUAUACAAACACAUGAAAAAUGUCACCAAAAUGUUAAUGGCAGUUACGUUACAGUUGCAUCAGGGAUGGGCUUUCAGUGCAUGACAUCUACAAGUGUACAAGAUGGUACUGGAUCCAGUGAGGAAGACAAAAAGUCUGGCGGGAAUGUGAGAGAGACUGGGAAGAAUUGGCUCAAUAUGAUGAUGGAGUUCAGAGAGCUAAAUGAAGUGCUGAGAAGUCACUGUUUUAAAUGGCUUAGCCAUGUGGAGGUGGAGCCCAGCAAAGAUGACUUCUACCCUACAAAGAGGUUAAGAAUCCUGUUUCAAAUGCUGGAUGGAUCCCCAUGAAUCUGUCACUUUAAGAAGGGAGAUUGCCCAGUGAAAGCAAUGGAAAGAAAAACAGUAUUAAAGGUGAGUAGAUUGGGAGAUAUCACCAGAUUUUCCUGUUCUCUUCUGUCAUGCUACGACAACUUACAUCAGUGAAAUUUCUUUUUUAGAAAUUGCAAAGGAUAUUGAAAUAUUGAAAGGAUAUUGAAACUUGGGAGCCCUUAUUUAUGGGAUAAAGCUGUCAGGAAAUUAAACUAGAAUCAACAUUUGACAGGUGAAUGUUUAUUUUUAUUCUUGAGAACCUAAUCUCUCUCUCCCACCAACCUUUGCUUAUAUAUCAGAUCUACACUCUAUUUUGAAGCAGAAAGAACAAGAAAGGGAUCAAGAAAGAAAGAAGAAAGAGAGAAAGGAAGGAAGGAAGGAAGGAAGGAAGGAAGGAGGGAAGGAAGGAAGGAAGGAGGGAAGGAAGGAAGAAAGAAAAGAAAGAAAAGAAAAGAAAAAAAGACUUCUCAAG